CAGAGAGCCCUAUACUGGGAUGUCAUGCAGGAGAACUGUGAGAAUGUGACCUCGCUGGAGUUUCCAGUUUUCCCACCUGAUGAGCUCUCUCAGCCUCAACAAGACAAAGACCCGUGGGUCCCAAAUCUCCAUGAUUCAGAGGAAAGCGAGAUCCUGAGCGGUACCUGCCCAAGGGAGGAAUCAUUCAGCCAAUUUGAAAUCUGUCCGUGGCUGAAGGAAACAGCUGGGAUUCCCGACAGAGACCUUGGGAGUUCUCCGAGUUCAGGAUUGUCCCCAGCAGACCAUCCUAUGAAAAUAUUCAACACAAGAAUUCUGGCCACGAGACAAACACCACAAGACAGGACAUAGAACACAAAACAUAAUUCCUAUUGUGCCAGUACAUGCAUGG